rnacentral:rRNA from 1 species
UACGUAGGGGCAGCAGUCGUUCGAUUCGAUUGUGGCGUAAAGAGCGUGUAGGCGGCCAGAUAGGUCCGUUGUGAAAACUCGAGGCUCAACCUCGAGACGCCGAUGGAAACCAUUUGGCUAGAGUCCGGAAGAGGAGAGUGGAAUUCCUGGUGUAGCGGUGAAAUGCGCAGAUAUCAGGAAGAACACCCGUGGCUAAGGCGGCUCUCUAGUACGGUACUGACGCUGAGACGCGAAAGCGUGGGGAGCGAACAGG